GUCAGCAUACUGCCGUGAAUACGUUCCCGGGCCUUGUACACACCGCCCGUCACACCAUGAGAGUUGGGAAUACCCGAAGCCUGUGAGCUAACGUUAAGAGGCAGCAGUCGAAGGUAGAAUCAAUGAUUGGGGUGAAGUCGUAACAAGGUAUC
rnacentral:rRNA from 1 species